rnacentral:rRNA from 1 species
CCUACGGGUGGCAGCAGUGAGGAAUAUUGGUCAAUGGACGAGAGUCUGAACCAGCCAAGUAGCGUGAAGGAUGACUGCCCUAUGGGUUGUAAACUUCUUUUAUAAAGGAAUAAAACGAGGCACGUGUGCCCUUUUGCAUGUACUUUAUGAAUAAGGAUCGGCUAACUCCGUGCCAGCAGCCGCGGUAAUACGGAGGAUUCGAGCGUUAUCCGGAUUUAUUGGGUUUAAAGGGAGCGUAGAUGGGUUGUUAAGUCAGUUGUGAAAGUUUGCGGCUCAACCGUAAAAUUGCAAUUGAUACUGGCAGUCUUGAGUACAGGUGAGGUAAGCGGAAUGCGUGGUGUAGCGGUGAAAUGCAUAGAUAUCACGAAGAACCCCGAUUGCGAAGGCAGCUUACUAAACUGUGACUGACAUUGAUGCUCGAAAGUGUGGGUAUCAAACAGGAUUAGAUACCCGUGUAGUC